AACGCACAUUGCGCCCCUUGGUAUUCCGGGGGGCAUGCCUGUUCGAGCGUCAUUGCAACCCUCAAGCCUGGCUUGGUAUUGGGCUUCGCCACUAACCUGGCGGGCCUUAAAAUCAGUGGCGGUGCCUCCGAGGCCCUGAGCGCAGUAAAUAUCCUCGCUAUAGGGACCCGGUGGUUACUGGCCAGCAAUCCCAACUUUCUAAGUUUGACCUCGGAUCAGGUAGGGAUACCCGCUGAACUUAA
rnacentral:misc_RNA from 1 species